UCAUAAAUGACAUGAUACAAAUACAAAAGCAAUAAAAGAAGCAAAUAUGGAAGCAAAUGCUGGAUAAGCAAGUUUUAUUAGCAAAAUGAAAGCUUAUUAUCAUUUGAUUACAUCGGAAAAUGAAGAUAUUAAUUGUAAAAGCACGUUUAGGAUACAACACUAAGGCCACUUGUAAAAACAUGAAAGAAGUACGAAUUUGAGCAUUGAGCACCGAUACGAAGGGAAACACCUGAAAAGUGUAGAAUUAAAUCGACUGUUAAAAUCCUCCGUAAGCAUGGGACGUUACACCUUCACUCAAUAUUAUAUACAGCUGGCAAUUCGGAUACGGAUAUCCCAUUAAGCUGUACAUGAAAUCACUCAAAAAACAUUGGAGACCUUGAAUCUUCUAAGAGCUAUGAGGGCGCUGAUAAAAUAUCGUGUGGUAUCCUUAAGUGACCUGUUAAUCCACUGCCCGAAGCAAUAUGUGCUAAAAACGUGAUGAUCGCGGAUAUCACAGGUAUAGCAGGCG
rnacentral:lncRNA from 1 species